rnacentral:rRNA from 1 species
UUUCAGAGUCAUAUCUCCCUGCAGCUCUCGCCUGGUGUCCCACUGAAGCUAAGCAGGGUUGAGCCUAGUCAGUACCUGGAUGGGAGACCUCCUCAGGAAAAGGUUGGUGCUGGAAG